rnacentral:rRNA from 2 species
AGAGUUUGAUCAUGGCUCAGAUUGAACGCUGGCGGCAGGCCUAACACAUGCAAGUCGAACGGUAACAGGAAGCAGCUUGCUGCUUUGCUGACGAGUGGCGGACGGGUGAGUAAUGUCUGGGAAACUGCCUGAUGGAGGGGGAUAACUACUGGAAACGGUGGCUAAUACCGCAUAACGUCGCAAGACCAAAGAGGGGGACCUUCGGGCCUCUUGCCAUCAGAUGUGCCCAGAUGGGAUUAGCUUGUUGGUGAGGUAACGGCUCACCAAGGCGACGAUCCCUAGCUGGUCUGAGAGGAUGACCAGCCACACUGGAACUGAGACACGGUCCAGACUCCUACGGGAGGCAGCAGUGGGGAAUAUUGCACAAUGGGCGCAAGCCUGAUGCAGCCAUGCCGCGUGUAUGAAGAAGGCCUUCGGGUUGUAAAGUACUUUCAGCGGGGAGGAAGGUGUUGUGGUUAAUAACCACAGCAAUUGACGUUACCCGCAGAAGAAGCACCGGCUAACUCCGUGCCAGCAGCCGCGGUAAUACGGAGGGUGCAAGCGUUAAUCGGAAUUACUGGGCGUAAAGCGCACGCAGGCGGUCUGUCAAGUCGGAUGUGAAAUCCCCGGGCUCAACCUGGGAACUGCAUUCGAAACUGGCAGGCUUGAGUCUUGUAGAGGGGGGUAGAAUUCCAGGUGUAGCGGUGAAAUGCGUAGAGAUCUGGAGGAAUACCGGUGGCGAAGGCGGCCCCCUGGACAAAGACUGACGCUCAGGUGCGAAAGCGUGGGGAGCAAACAGGAUUAGAUACCCUGGUAGUCCACGCCGUAAACGAUGUCUACUUGGAGGUUGUGCCCUUGAGGCGUGGCUUCCGGAGCUAACGCGUUAAGUAGACCGCCUGGGGAGUACGGCCGCAAGGUUAAAACUCAAAUGAAUUGACGGGGGCCCGCACAAGCGGUGGAGCAUGUGGUUUAAUUCGAUGCAACGCGAAGAACCUUACCUGGUCUUGACAUCCACAGAAGAAUCCAGAGAUGGAUUUGUGCCUUCGGGAACUGUGAGACAGGUGCUGCAUGGCUGUCGUCAGCUCGUGUUGUGAAAUGUUGGGUUAAGUCCCGCAACGAGCGCAACCCUUAUCCUUUGUUGCCAGCGAUUAGGUCGGGAACUCAAAGGAGACUGCCAGUGAUAAACUGGAGGAAGGUGGGGAUGACGUCAAGUCAUCAUGGCCCUUACGACCAGGGCUACACACGUGCUACAAUGGCGCAUACAAAGAGAAGCGACCUCGCGAGAGCAAGCGGACCUCAUAAAGUGCGUCGUAGUCCGGAUUGGAGUCUGCAACUCGACUCCAUGAAGUCGGAAUCGCUAGUAAUCGUGGAUCAGAAUGCCACGGUGAAUACGUUCCCGGGCCUUGUACACACCGCCCGUCACACCAUGGGAGUGGGUUGCAAAAGAAGUAGGUAGCUUAACCUUCGGGAGGGCGCUUACCACUUUGUGAUUCAUGACUGGGGUGAAGUCGUAACAAGGUAACCGUAGGGGAACCUGCGGUUGGAUCACCU